rnacentral:rRNA from 1 species
UGCCAGCCGCCGCGGUAAUACGAAGGGUGCAAGCGUUGUUCGGAAUUAUUGGGCGUAAAGAGCAUGUAGGCGGACUGUUAAGUCUGAUGUGAAAGCCCGGGGCUCAACCCCGGAAGUGCAUUGGAUACUGGCAGUCUUGAGUAUGGGAGAGGAAAGUGGAAUUCCGAGUGUAGGAGUGAAAUCCGUAGAUAUACGGAAGAACACCAGUGGCGAAGGCGGCUUUCUGGACCGAUACUGACGCUGAGACGCGAACGCGUGGGGAGCAAACAGGAUUAGAUA